UUCACAAGAAGACUUAAAGAAACUCCCUGUAAAUUGUUGAUGUUAUCCAUCUAAUCAAAUCAAUGCAAAUCCCUGAAAUUAUUAUGCAGGUCCAGUUUUAGCCGCCAGCGGGGGGAAGUACUCUCCUUUAAGGGCUAUAUAGAAUGAAACACAUCAAACUGAAAGGAGCCUAGAUUUUCAAGACAGGACAUGAUAAUAUCAACAUGGAAACUAUGAUUGGCAGG